GAGGAAAGUCCGGGCAACACAGAGCACCAUACUUCCUAACGGGAAGGCUUUCUGCUGGUGACGGCAGAAAGACAGACAGGGCCACAGAAACAAACCGCCCUUUGACUUCAAGGCUUGCCAAGAACGUCGAAAGGUAAGGGUGAAAAGGUGGGGUAAGAGCCCACCGUUCCGAUGGUGACAUCGGAAGCUAGGCAAACCUUAUGGGUUGAAAGGUCAAAUAGGCCCCGGGCAAAGAGCUGCUCGUUCGAUUUCUCCUUCGGGAGGAUUCCGGGGUGGGUAGAUCGAUGGAUCCCGAUUGCAAAGUCGGGACUAGAUAAAUGGCAAGAGCCCAUUUUCCCUCGUGGAAAAUGGGAUACAGAACCCGGCUUAUGAAUUCCGACAGAACCCGGCUUA
rnacentral:RNase_P_RNA from 1 species